GACGUGCGUGCAUCGUUUUGUGAUUGUUCGGCUUUUUGGUGUACUUUCUGGGCCUCAUAAAGUGUUUAUAUAUAAAUUCCGUAAUAUAUAUACAUUUUUAUUAAACAUAUUAAGCAUAAUUGAAUUUGGAUAGCGUUGUAAUACCAGUUAAAAUCGGCAAUAAUGCAUUCUUAAAUGCUGUUUCCUUUUUUACAAACUCACUCAAUUGAUAAAUACGCAUUUCUCUUUCAAAACUGGUGUUGAAUAAACUUUAAAUUAUGGAAUGUUCGGACAUCAUUGCUGAAAAAUCAGCGUUAGAAACUGUUUUGAAUACAGAGUUUAUGCUCCAAACGGAAGAUAAUAGUCGCAUAGAUAAUGUGGAUAAUGAUGAAAACUUUCAUAAUCGGCAAGCUGCCGUCUCGACAGCCGGCAGCACAUCACCUAUGUGCGGAUUUCGAUGGAAACGAGUUCUUAAUCCUACGGGACCACAACCGCGUCCACGCCAUGGACACCGCGCCAUCAACAUUAAAGAGCUAAUGGUGGUUUUUGGUGGCGGCAAUGAAGGAAUUGUUGAUGAAUUGCAUGUUUACAACACGGUUACCAAUCAGUGGUACGUGCCAGUGCUUAAGGGAGAUGUACCCAAUGGAUGCGCAGCCUAUGGCUUCGUUGUGGAAGGAACUCGAAUGUUUGUCUUUGGCGGAAUGAUUGAAUAUGGAAAAUAUUCAAACGAUUUGUACGAGCUGCAGGCCACAAAGUGGGAAUGGCGGAAAAUGUAUGCCGAGUCACCCGAUGGUGAUGGCAUGUCGCCAUGUCCACGUUUGGGUCACAGUUUUACCAUGGUUGGCGAUAAGAUCUUUUUAUUUGGCGGUUUGGCAAAUGAAUCGGAUGAUCCAAAGAAUAAUAUACCCAAAUACCUGAACGAUCUGUAUAUACUAGACACCCGCGGCGUUCACAGUCACAAUGGCAAGUGGAUAGUUCCAAAAACCUUUGGGGAUAGUCCGCCACCCAGAGAGUCGCACACUGGUAUAGCAUUUACCAGCAAAGCAAACGGAAACUUGAAUUUAUUGAUUUAUGGCGGUAUGAGCGGUUGCCGUUUGGGCGAUUUGUGGUUACUUGACACAGAAUCCAUGACUUGGGCAAAGCCGCGAACUCUGGGGCAAGCACCAUUACCACGCUCUCUGCACAGUUCCACAAUGAUUGCAAACAAAAUGUAUGUUUUUGGAGGCUGGGUACCAUUGGUGAUGAAUGAAUCCAAGUCAACGACAGAGCGAGAAUGGAAGUGCACAAACACAUUGGCUGUUCUUGAUUUGGAUACUAUGUCUUGGGAUAACGUUACCUUGGAUACCGUCGAAGAGAAUGUGCCGCGUGCUCGUGCUGGCCACUGUGCUGUGGGCAUACAGAGCCGUCUGUAUGUGUGGUCUGGUCGGGACGGUUAUCGAAAAGCAUGGAAUAACCAGGUUUGCUGCAAAGACCUUUGGUAUUUGGAGGUGACAAAGCCCCUUUACGCUGUUAAAGUGGCGCUAGUGCGCGCCUCCACGCAUGCCUUGGAGCUCUCCUGGACAGCGACAACAUUUGCGGCUGCUUACGUUUUACAAAUACAAAAAAUAGAUCAACCAUCUGUAAAUCCAGGCACGAAACAGCCGCAGAACCUGGUUAAUCAGGUAAUAACAGCUGCGGCAAAGACAGCCAAUGAGCCAACAGCAACGACUGUACCAGAAAAUAGCCCCGAGAGUACAUUGUUGUUGGCAGGAAAUGAAGCCAAUUCAAGCACAGAUGGUAAGAACACUAUAAAAGCCGAAAUAAAUGUUCAAGCACGAGAGGGAAUGGGUUCACGGUCGCCACCCACGUCCCCACAGUUAAAAAAGAAAUCGGGGAAUGCGGCCACCAUCACAUCUGUUGUUCAGCCUCAAAUAUCGGUUAUUAGCAGUACUGCUGCUUCCGCUCCUGUUACAACUAGCGGAAAUACUUCUGUCGGUAAUAUAUUGCAAAAGUUCCGACCAAUUGCAACGACAACAGCGAGAACAGAUCCGGUGGCAUUGCGUACUUCUAACGCGAAUGUUGUCCUUAGUUCAGUAACAGGAGCAACCACAGCCGCUGCUUCUGGCAAUGCCUUGCGUAUUGUGUCUAGUGCGGCGGCCACAUCAUCAUCACAAGCAUUGCGCAACAGCUCGGCCACAAUUAAUAUAUUAAAAACAUCCGCGCCAAGUGCUGGAUCACCGACUACGACCACCACAACAUCCAUUGGUGGCAAACAAUAUUUUAUCCAAAAGCCUCUCACAUUGGCACCCAAUGUUCAACUGCAGUUUGUCAAGACGAGCAGCGGUGGCAUGACGGUGCAGACAUUGCCCAAGGUUAACUUUAACGUGACUAAAGGUGGAGGCAAUCCAUCACAGAGUCUUUCAAUUGGGAAUACACAAACCCCAAUACAAGGCUCCGCUUUACCGGUAAACCAACAGCCAAAGUCCUCCAUUGUCUCCGGAAAUGUCUUAAAACUCGUCUCACCACACACCAUGACAAGUGGAGGUAAACUUAUAAUGAAGAACUCAAACAUCCUGCAGAUGGGCAAGGUAACGCCCAAUGUAAUGGGCGGAAAGCCCGCUUUUGUCAUAACAAACAAGCAGGGAGCGCAGUUGGGCAAUCAACAGAUAAUAAUUGUGACAACGGGCGGUGGGAGCAUGCGAACUGUGCCAGCUGGAGCGGUAAUGAGUACGGCUGGCUCGGGCACGGGCACGGGCACGUCGACAACUGGCACAAGUAUUGUCAGUAUAGUUAGUCCGACGGCAACCACAUCUAGUCCCCUACAGGUUAGCUCUGUUGGUGGUCAUCGAACUGUUAUAUCAACCAAUCCGAGUGGAGUUAAAAUGCUGCGAAGCAUCUCAUCCGUUCAAGCCCCUGGGGGACAGAAGGUGGUAAGUGGCGGAACACCUAUCCAUCAAAAGGCAGCCCUAUAUAUAGGGGGUAAAGCUGUUACGGUUAUGAGUAGCACAAAUCCAAACCUAACCGCAGGCAAUGCCAUAUCUAACUCGAAAUUGAUGGUUGUGCCGGGAGGAAGUACAAAUGUUUCUGCUACUUCCAAUUCUACGACUCUAAGCGGUAGAAAAAGUUUUGUUUUUAACUCUGGGAGUAGUCCACGUGCAGUUACUUUGACCACUAAAGGAAUUCAUGCUAGAAUCCUGCCAUCCACAUCGGCGACUCUGUCCAAGGAAAGCUUGAAGGAAAUAUCAGAUAAGAAAGACAACAUCGACCCAACGGAUGAUAUCAUAGAGCAGUUGGAUGGUGCCGUUGAUCAAUUGAACCCACAAGAAAAUGAAGCUAAAGAAGAAGAUAAUAAUGACGACAAUGACAAUGCCACAUCCACGUCAGCAGCUACUAGUGCUGAUAUAAUGGCGCCUAUACCGAUGGCUAUUAAUGAGGAUGUGUCCGCUGUAAGCAGUACAACGGAUGCUAGGGAAACAGCGGCGGAAAGCCUAGAAGAAGCGCCCAAAUAUACAGAGAAAGAACAAGUUAAUAGGGAAUCAACGAUAAAGUCCACACUAUUGCCCAAUGAUCAUCAAAAUAAUCGUCCAACAACAUCGGAAACUGAAGCCGCCACUAUUCUAACCAACAUCAAGUCAGCUGAAGUCUCAGGCACCAACAAAAACGCCAGUAGUUCAGCUUCAAUUAUAGGAGACGAUAAUAGAGCAACAGAUGUGUCAGAUACCAAGUUUAACCAGAUACCACAUAAAUUUCCGAAUGUUGAUGGCUCACACUUGGAUGCACUCGCUUCUGCUGCCGUAAUGCAGGCGGCAACAGCUGAUGCGUCAGCUCUGAAUUUAAAUAGUGGAGAAACAGUGAAGAGUUUGGUGGAAGCAAGUCCCAGAAAGAGCGGUGGUGAUAAUUCAAAAAACCAGCUCGACGCGCAAAAAUGGCACACUGUUGGCAUAUUCAAGGAUCUCUCUCACACCGUUACCAGUUACCUUGACUCCAAUUCUUUCGAUGAUUCCCUACUGGAUGACGUUUUUGAUGUUGAUAACCUGGCUGAUCUUAGUAAAUAUCCUCGCAUUAACUUGGAUCCUGGAACAGCGUAUCGGUUUCGACUGGCGGCCAUCAAUUCUUGCGGUCGUGGCGAGUGGGGAGAGAUAUCCAGCUUUAAGACCUGCUUGCCUGGCUUUCCCGGCGCUCCCUCGGCCAUCAAGAUUUCCAAGGACGUCAAGGAGGGUGCCCACCUGACAUGGGAACCACCGCCGGCACAAAAGACCAAGGAGAUUGUUGAAUAUUCAGUAUAUCUUGCUGUAAAACCCACGACCAAGGAUAACAAGACAUUGGCCGCCACACCGCAAUUGGCAUUUGUUCGGGUUUAUGUGGGCGCUGCUAAUCAGUGUACCGUUCCCAAUGCCUCCCUCUCCAACGCCCAUGUAGAUUGCUCUAAUAAGCCAGCAAUUAUCUUUAGGAUUGCAGCCCGCAAUCAGAAGGGCUAUGGGCCAGCGACACAAGUUAGAUGGCUGCAGGAUCCCACUACCACAAAACUGCCGACGUCUACCGGCCCACAAAGCCUAAAACGGGCACAGGAUAAGUCUAAUAGCUCAGCUGGUAGCACAUUCUGUUCGCCGAACAAGCGUGGACGGAGCGGCGUAAAUGAUUGAUUUACUGUUGCAGAAAAUGGGAUUUAAGAGAGGGAGAGAGAUAGAGAGGUCACAAUAAAUAAACGUAAGUAAGUAAACUGAAGGUUCAAGUGGCUUUGUUUGUUUUUAUUUUAACAUCCUUUUCCCAUCAU